GACGAACGCUGGCGGCGUGCUUAACACAUGCAAGUCGAGCGGUAAGGCCCUUUCGGGGGUACACGAGCGGCGAACGGGUGAGUAACACGUGGGUGACCUGCCUUUAGCUCUGGGAUAAGCCUGGGAAACCGGGUCUAAUACCGGAUAUGACUCCGCGGCGCAUGUUGUGGGGUGGAAAGCCUUGUGCGGCUGGAGAUGGGCCCGCGGCCUAUCGGCUUGUUGGUGGGGUGAUGGCCUACCAAGGCGACGACGGGUAGCCGGCCUGAGAGGGCGACCGGCCACACUGGGACUGAGACACGGCCCAGACUCCUACGGGAGGCAGCAGUGGGGAAUCUUGCGCAAUGGGCGAAAGCCUGACGCAGCGACGCCGCGUGAGGGAUGACGGCCUCGGUUGUAAC
rnacentral:rRNA from 1 species